UAUCAUCAAUAAGCGGAGGAAAAGAAACCAACAGGGAUUCCCCUAGUAACGGCGAGUGAAGCGGGAACAGCUCAAAUUUGAAAUCUGGCCCUUGGGUCCGAGUUGUAAUUUGCAGAGGAUGCUUUUGGUGCGGUGCCUUCCGAGUUCCCUGGAACGGGACGCCUUAGAGGGUGAGAGCCCCGUACGGUUGGCCACCAAGCCUGUGUAAAGCUCCUUCGACGAGUCGAGUAGUUUGGGAAUGCUGCUCAAAAUGGGAGGUAUAUUUCUUCUAAAGCUAAAUACUGGCCAGAGACCGAUAGCGCACAAGUAGAGUGAUCGAAAGAUGAAAAGCACUUUGAAAAGAGGGUUAAAUAGCACGUGAAAUUGUUGAAAGGGAAGGAUUUAUGACCAGACUUUUUCUGGGGGGAUCAUCCGGUGUUCUCACCGGUGCACUUCCCCCAGUGGAGGCCAGCAUCGGUUUCUGCCGGGGGAUAAAAGCUUCGGGAAUGUGGCUCCUUCGGGAGUGUUAUAGCCCGUUGCAUAAUACCCUGGCGGGGACCGAGGUUCGCGCAUUGCAAGGAUGCUGGCGUAAUGGUUAUUAAUCACCCGUCUUGAAACACGGACCAAGGAGUCGAACAUUUGUGCGAGUGUUUGGGUGUUAAACCCUCACGCGUAAUGAAAGUGAACGGAGGUGAGAGCCCCUCGGGGUGCAUCAUCGACCGAUCCUGAUGUCUUCGGAUGGAUUUGAGUAAGAGCAUAACUGUUCGGACCCGAAAGAUGGUGAACUAUGCGUGGAUAGGGUGAAGCCAGAGGAAACUCUGGUGGAGGCUCGCAGCGGUUCUGACGUGCAAAUCGAUCGUCAAAUCUGCGCAUGGGGGCGAAAGACUAAUCGAACCAUCUAGUAGCUGGUUACGCAAGUUUUUCUCCC
rnacentral:rRNA from 1 species